CUAAAGGGUGGGAGUCAAUUCAAUGAGGUGGACUCUUUUUGGUGGUGAGCAGUGAUAGAAAAGGAUCAAUGGGCACAAACUGCAACACAGGAAGUUCCAUACUUAAAUAAGGAGGAACUUUACUGUGAGGGUGACAGAGCCCUAGGACAGGCCGCCCAGAGAGGCUGUGGAUUCUUCUUCUCUGGAGAUAUUCACAACCUCUCUGGAUGUUUAACUGUGUGACCUGGUGCAGGGGCCUGCUUUAGCAGAGGACUAGAUGGACAAGAUGAUUCCCAGGGUUCCCUUCCAACCCUUACGGUUCUAUGAAUCUGUGAAUGCAGCCUGUGCUUCACCCCCCAUCUGAUUUAUCUCUGCUGGCAGAGCAGACACAGUUGCCACGUUUGAGGAACAGAUAUGCUGAUUAACAGAGUAGGCAAGAAGGACAGUCCCCCCGCUGCCCCUCCCCAUCCCAGCUGCUUUUGAUCUCUUGGAAGAUUAGGGACAGUCGCGCCUUCCAGCUGUGUCCUCCAGCUGUGCUUUGGAAGCCAGCUCUGUCUGCUGCCUUGCUGCAAGGAGUCCCCCAGGGCAGGAGCACAGUGCUGAGCGGUGGUCGUUGUGUGCCCCAGGAAGGGGACCGUUACCCACACUGGGCCCAAUUGCACGUUGCUGGGUUCAACGUGAGGCAGAAACCAGGUCUCGUACUGCAAGUGGAUGAAGAUCAGAGAAUUUCCAGGGAAAGACAAGGAAGACUGACAGCCAGGCAGCCAGCUAGAGCAGAUAUAGACAUGGAUUGGGGCCUGGUGCUGGGGAAGGGGUGAGGUUUGGUCCUGCACUGAGCAGCCUUCUGCUAGCUUUGAUUUUCAGUAGCUUCUGGCCAUAACAUGCAGGCUGGCUUCACAGCAGUGCCCAGAUGUCCGGACGUUGAAUCACUAUGAGGUAGUGCCAGCCAUAAAAACCCCCAUGGUCAUCUCAGUCCUCGGGACAACUUUUUUGCAAGGCUACACAGCACGAAGUGUUUGCUGUACUGGGGAAGAACAAGGAGGAGAAAUAGGACUGGGCAAAUCCAAGGGGAAAGGAAAAGCACCUUGAAAAGAUAGAGCAUGUCAGCUACGUGCACUGACUUUGUUCCCUCUCGGUGUUUUGGUUCAGAAGCACUUCUGAGUAGUUUUCUUGCUCUGGCAUUUACUUGGCCAAAACUCUUUAGACUAAGGCUGCAAAGAGUAAUGGUGUUUUGUUUCAUUUUGUAAGCUCAUUGUGCUACAGCUAUUUUUUUCCUUGUACUUAACAGCACUCUCAAUUUGAAGGUUUAUCUCCUUGCCAUUUCUGCACAAGAAGUGGUAGCUCUCCCAUUCUUCUCACUUAAGCCAUCUCCUAGCCCUCGCUCGUUAGACCAUCUCCCAAAUUUCUUCUAUUUUGACACCAUCUUUCUAAUGUGAAAAUUGUAAGUGCAGCAAGAGCAUCCCUUCCUGCUUCAUGCUAUGAUGUCUUAACACUAAGCCUCCUUUUUCAUGCUGCUCUAUCAAAAUAUUUACAACCCAUCUUUUGCUGUCAUCAGACUGUAUGUUUUUAAAUUCAGCUUCAAAAUUAAGGGCAGGGAAAAUUAUGAUCAUUUCCACAUUAGUCACUGCAUCCAGUUUCUUUGGAGUGAUGAGUGAAUCAACUCCCAUUCUGACUUACUGUAGGGGUAAAUAUGUGUAAUUUGAGCAAAUUUGGGUUGCUUGAUAUAAUUGUUUGCUGCUGUGCUGCAAUGCAAAAUGCGGGGAUCUGUGAGGAAGUGCUUGCAGCAGGCGCAUGCUUCUUGCCUUUGGUCCCUGCCAGUUUCUAUUUUGCCAUGCCAAGUUUGAUGACAGCCUGCCUUAGGAUGCAGAUGGGCUUAGGAAAAAGACCCUUCAGGCAGUUUCCAGUGCACCGUCUCUGCAUCACGUAUGCUGGGAGGGCUGCGUGCUGCCGACCAGGUUUGCCUUGCUCUCCCCUGUGCUGUUUGCUGAGGUGUGGCUGAGUGAGGUCAGCAGCAAAUGCCACAUUCACUACUGUGGAGGAAGGGAUCCUCUUCUGCAUGCAGGGCAGCUGUAUGGGUGCUGGCUGCUCUUGGUGCGGCUGUGGCUGUGUGACAUGGUGGCACCCCUGAGAUGGGUGUUUCCACCACUGCUAUGCCUAAAUCUGCUCAGAGUAGACCUAGGAGUGCAAAAAUACUGAGUCUUGGCAUACCUUGCAGCUUGUAUGGCAAGAUGAGAUAAGUUUGCGGGAGAAGAUGGGCCAAAAAAGAAAAUAAAUUUCCCUGGGUUUUGCUAUGCUGUCAGGUUGGUUCACUCCCUGUUCUGCCCUGGGGCGCUGCUCCACUCCUCACCCAUGCUGUAGGCAGAAAGGAGCCAAUUGUUUCUCUUGGCGGGGAAGUCUGGGUUGUGCCGGACCCCACAGUGAGAGCAGUUGUGAACCAAAACUCAUCAUUAGGUUUUCCAGAGAGGUGCUGGGUGCCUCAUCCCUGGAGACAUUCAAGGUCAGGAUGUGCGGGGCUCUGAGCACCUGAGCUGCAGGUGUCCCUGUUCAUUGCAGGGGAGUUGGAUCAGAUGACUUCUAAAGGUCCCUUCCAACUCAAACGAUUCUGUGAUUCUAUGAUUUGGCCGUGGCAGAAGGACAGGUUUUGGCAUGGGGAGUUGUCUAGGACCGAAUCCCCCACUGAUCACAGAGGCUUCUGUGCAAGGCCGAUGCAUACAGCAGCACCUCUGGGGACAUUAAAAAUUGAUCAUGACUUUGUCAUCUGCAGAAGCAACUGGUUCCUUGUGCAGCCACCAGCACAGAAGCUGUGGCUGCUGCCCUGCCUGCUCGUCUGCUUACCCAUAGGAAGCAUAUUUCAGCAGGUACAGGUGCAGUCAAACAAAGCAGAUGAUUUUACAUUUGUGUUUCAGGUAGACCAAGAGGCUGAAAUCAUGCCAAAGUGUCAGCCCUGUCUUUUGUGAGAGACUGCAAAAGAGAUGGACUUUAAGACAUAGCUUUCAUAUCUGAGGGCUUUUCUAAUGACUUCUUAACUAAUUGACUUGACUUUGGCAGGGAGACAGCCAGCGGCUGAAAAAGGAUUAAAACUGUUAGAAACGCACAGCUUUGAAGUGGCUGAAACCCUAUUAAAAUUUGUAUGACAGAUUUCUUUGAAAUAGUACUUCUUAACCACUACAACCUGGUACAGUGAGCUCUUCUGCAAAACUUUAAGGGGGAAAGGCAAAGUCUGUGCAGUGGAAUGGACUCAGGUUGCUGCUGCCACUCAGUAAUUUGAUAACAGUAGGAUACCUCGUGUAACUCACGUAAACCACCUACUUUGUUUCUAAGAGUGAAUGUUUUGUGUUAGGAGAAUAUUUUCCUCUUAUCACUCAGAUCCGACAUAGCAAGCACCAUGAUGGAGCUAAAUUGUGUGUCAUUUUCAAUGGCCAAAUGAAUCUUGCUCCAAGAAACUAUCUGCCACGGCAAUUACUCCAAUUAGGGCUUUCUGGAGGGAGCGCAUGGAGAUCCAGUUCUGUGAGGCUGAAAGUGAGAUUGUAUUGGACAGUAGUCAUUUAAAUAGAGGUGAUGGAUUUUUUCCAGAAGAACGUUUUUAACUUAGGAUGUGCUCAUUUUUUCACAUGUAGAACAUCGUAUGGAAGCGUGAUCGUUUCUGCUGAAUUUCUGUCAAUCACCCCCUUUCCCCCAUGCUCCAGUGGGACUUCUCCUGUCUGACAGGCUUCAGAACUUUUCCUGCCAGUCGGAUUUUCUCAAAAACCUUGAAGACUUUCUGCUGGCUUACCUGCCAGCAGCUUAGAAACCUGUGCCUGAAACACAGCAUCAGAGUGGGAAGUGCAGAAGCUUUUGGGGUCCGAAGCUGCUGGACUACCUUACUAGAUUCAAGGAAGAAGGAUGUAGGGAAGAAAUUUUUUACAGUAAGGGCAGUGAGGCACUGGCACAGGUUGCCCAGAGAGGUGUUGGAUGCCCCAUCCCUGGAGACACUCAAGGUCAGGCUGGACAGGGCUCUGAGCACCUUAAUCUAAGUGUAGGUGUCCCUGUUCAUUGCAGGGUGUUGGACUAGAUGGCCAUUAAGGGUCCCUUCCAACUCAAGCAAUUCUGCGAUUCUAUGAAACUCUGUCCCAAGGAGAUGCCCCUUGUGGCUUCCAACCUCAUAACCAGCUGGCUCCCCAGAUUCCCCAUCCUUGCAGAGAGAGCCUUGCUGUCAGACCCAGCUCUCCACCCCAAUUCUCCAAGGGUUUGAGGCUUUCUGCUUGGUUUGAGUCCCCCACUCCAUUCACAGUCCAGGAAUCCUGUGUCCAUGGUGCUGGUGAGGUUUCCACCAUGGUGCUGCCAGAGAGCUGUGACUUCCCAGGGUCUGAGUAGCUAGCUUGGCUGGUUAUGGAAAUCUGGAAAACACAUAGCGUCCUAAGAAUGAAAUAAUUUUGGACUUCAGUCACUUGCAAAUGUCUGUUAUAUGUCUUUUGGUCCCAAGAUAAAAUGAAAAAGAAAAAUGAAGCCUUUGGAUGUCAGAAAGCGAUCCGGAACAUGUCUGGUUUCUCAGUCUGAUCUGCUUUUAGCUCUAUGUUCAGCAAGUGUGUGCAGGAGCAUGGCAUUGAGUUUGUGAGUGGCUCUACUGUGACAGGUCAGGCUAUCCACCAAGUUAACACCAGGCUCAUGCUGCCUGCUGCCCUGAACUGUGCCUGUGGGAGUGAAGUGUGUUUCUACAGAUCAUCGAGUAGGUCAGAGUUUCCUUGGGGGCAUUUCAAACAAAAGCCUGAUGGCUAAUGAAAGGCAAAUUGUAGCAGUCUAAUUUACAUUGGCAGUCAGCUGCAAACCUGUGACACCAAGUUCAAGCAGAUCAUGACUGGAACUACUUUUAAUCAAUCCUAAUUCCUCUGGUGUGUAUCUGUGAGAUGAACAACUUAAAUUCAGGACAAAUGAGCUUUAUGACAACCAUGUAAUGAGAAUAGACAUUAUAUAGCUAUUCUCUAUAUAGCUGUUUAGCUACUCUUGUAAAAGCAUUCUUAUACCUACAUAAUGCACUAGACUCUUGUGUACAAUCAUGAUUUCAGUCUACCAGAAAAUGACAGUGUUAUGGUCCAUGCUUUGUGUGUGUGUGUGUGUACCUUGCUAUAACAUCUGCGUAUUUCACCAUUUAUAUGGCAUUCUUUAUCAUAGUCAUAGAUUAAAACCUCUUCUUAUUCUAGUGCAGAAGUAGAAAUUGUUCCCAUAAAUAACACUAUUCUUGUGGUUUCUAAUCUUGUGGUUUCACAACUCAGUGCUGUCAGUGUGAAAGGAGCUUGUGCAUAACUCUGGAAGCCUCCUUAGGUAAGAAUCUACUAUUGUUACUUAGGUGUGUGUCUUUUACAUGUUGGGUAACUAAUUUUGGAAGGAGGGAAGGAAGGAGGGAAGGAGAGAAGGAGGGAAGGAGGGAAGGAAGGAAUGAAGGAACAAAGGAAGGAAGGAACGAAGGAAGGAAGGAAUGAAGGAACAAAGGAAGGAAGGAAUGAAGGAACGAAGGAAUGAAGGAACGAAGGAAUGAAGGAAGGGUGAUAAGCUUGAAAAAAGCAAUAUAGCAUGAAAAUUUUGUCUGAAACUCAAAAACACCAAGAUGUAUCAUAGUAGAUGUGAAACAUAUUUCCCCGUUGUUUACAUAGAUGGGUGGAAUUGGUUCUGACCAAGUUGCUUCCUGCAGUUCCCCUGCCAUUAACUAACUCAGCUGCAGGGUAGAGGGAGUUAAUGUUGCUUUUCUGGCAGUAUCCUAAACUGGUUUUCUAAUCUUGCUCUGUAUCAUCUAGGUAACAUGGUAGUAAAUUUUCUCUUAUGUUCCUCUUGGCUUUGGUCAUAGUGCUACGAGAAGAGUCCUCCUGAACACUGGCAAAGCCAUUCCUGAGUGGAUCACAACCCUCUGGUGCAAAAGCAGAGCUGCUGCCUUCUUCAGUGUGGGCAAGGCAAUAUUCUGUUCAAACAGACAAGGAAAACAAGGGGCUGCUGCAGUCCUAUUCUUGUAAACUAGCUCUCAUGAGGAGGCUCCAUGCUGGAGCGUGCAGAAUGUUUGUACCAGUAAGGGCUCCUGGCAGAUUUGGCAGUGUUGUACAGGCUCCUGGUAAUUACAGACACAUCACUCAGUGUUCAGAACAUCGUGCUAGCCCUCAGCUGUAGGAGUCUCCUUGAUUUCAGGAAGUAAAACCCCAUGAAAAUGACUUUCAGGGUGUGUUCCAAGCAUAAGGAGGGGUCCAUGCUUUUCUGUGAUUAAUUGCCUGCUUACAGUUUUGCUGAACAAAACCUGGCUUAACUUUGUGACAUGAAAUAUGUCUAGUGAAGAGAAGCAUCAAAUUAAUACCGCCCAAUUAAAACUUUAAAAGCAAUAAUCUUCAGUUAACAAACACCAGAUGCUCUUGUCAGGGUUAUCUCACUGCUGUUGUAUUAAUCAUUUUUAAGCUCUGUUCAUUUGAGCACUUACUUGGUACAGAGUACUAUUGCAAGGUCAUCUUUCUGAAUAUUAUGCCAAAAAUUAUCACUUCCCUGAUCCUACAACUGUUAAAACAUCAGAUUAAAAAAGUGGGAGUGACUGGGAAGCAAAGCAUUCUUGGUUAUUUUUUAAACACAAAAUGACCACUCAACCUAUUAAACAGGUUGAAUAAGAGACUUGUUAUUGCUUUAAAAAAAAUUAGAAAUAUUUAUUCCAUAGCAUGUUACUGCUUGUCAGGGAAAAUUAAGUUAUUAAUAUGUUAAAGCAGCACAUGUGCAACAAGUGUAAAACUGAUCUGCCAACAGAGAGGUGGAGGAAUUUUCCACCAAGAAAUGUAGACCAUAGCCAAGAGGAAUAAACUAAGAAACAACAUGGGUCAGAGAUAGACUGUAGUCUUUUCCUCAUCCUGGACAUACAUGGGUUGAGUGUUGUUGCUUUACACUCCAGGACCUCCCAGUCCCUGAGCUCAAGUUGAGUACUAGGAAAAAUUUCUUCUCAGAAGGAGUGGUGAGGCAAUAGUGGGGGAGGUGGUGGAGUCACAGCCCCUGGAAGUGAACGAAACAUGUAGUUAUGUCACUGAAGGACGUGCUUAGUGGGUGUGGUGGUGAUGGCUUGAUGGCUGGACUAGGUGAUCUUAGAGAUCUUCUCCAACCUUUAUGAUUCGAUGGUUCUAAAGGUUCUGCCAGACAAAGAGACUUAUUUGUUAAGAUCUGGGCUCAUCCCACCUGACGUAAGGUCCCAAAGGAGCAGUGUUGUCACCUUGUCAUAACACCUGAGCUGCUUUCUGAAAAUGCUUCAUCUUCAACUGUAGGAGAGACCAGAUAGACUCUGCUUCUCACUGGACAGUGCUGGUAGGGUAGUGGGUCAAGAAUGGUUAGCCGAAGAGGAGAUGAACUUUUAAAACACUAUAUUAUGUAUAUGGAUGUGAAUGCCUUCAAAACCACAACUUGGGAGGGAUGAUCCUCAUGAGAACAGAAGGGGCUUGAAAAGACAAAAUUCUCUGGGAAGCAGGAAAUUAUGUGGAAAAAAUGAAGAUUCAAGCCUGAGUGAGGAUGAGUAAUUGUUUCUGGAGUGCCAUUAAGAAAUGAAAUCUGUGGGAUCUCUGUCGUCGGAGAAGACACAUUCUUGUUUUUCCUUAUCUUCUGCCAUGACAGCUCAACUGCAGAAAUCCCGCGCGGGUCUCUGUGUGUAAUGCCUCCUCGUGCUUUUAGUGUGGGCUCCAUGCCAUUUCUUUCAGUUUCACUUGACCACCCAUCUGCCUGAAAUCUUCUGAGGUGAUAAAUAACGGAUUAUCUCACCUCUUCAGGAAACUGCUGUAAGAACAACAACAACAACAAAUGCUACAUCAGGAACAGUCAUGAUUUAAAAAUGUAAAAUAGUGAAGAACAACUAGAGCGAGCUGGGUUGCUUUUCCUGUGUAUUGUCUGAGUUCCUGCUGAGUGACCCUGCCCCAUUGCACCAUUUCAUACGUCCUUUAUCCUGCUUUGCUCUGUUUCCUGCUGCCCCCACCUUGCUGAAACCCAUACCCACCGAGUGGGGGAACAAGAGCAAGUUUAGAUGGAGUCAGGACAGCUCUAAAGGGUUUUGUGAAGAAACUCCAUAUUAUGUGUUCUGGUGAGACACAGAAAGGUGGGAAACACAGGCAACAAAUGAAAAAGUGUAAUGCGCAUAGAAAGAGCAUCUUCCCAUUUUGCGUAGCACUUUCAGAAUACAUGUGCUGUUUUCCUCACCUCUCUCUCUCUAUAACAUCUCUGCCCCCCGCAGUAUAUAGAACACUAUUUAACCUGGAAGGAUAUAUGCUUAUGUGCCCUAUAAAGGGAAGGUGUCAAGUUGUUUUCCAUUAUUUUGCAUUUUUAAAUCAUGACGGUUCCUGAUGCAGCGGUGUGUUUAGGGGCAUG
rnacentral:lncRNA from 1 species